AUGGACAAGAGUUGGAUGGAUAAAGCUAGAAACACACAAGCAUAUAUUGACGGGGAUAUCGGCAUGAAGAUGGACAUGAAGGUGGAUGUGGACAUGAAGGGGAAUAUGGUGGUGGAUAUGAAGCAUGUGUGGAAGUGGACAAGCCCAUGGCGAAAGCAGGAAUGCAACCACAAGCAAGCUGAGGAGGUAAUAUCCAUGUUUCCAAGAAUUUUUCAUGCCCUCAACUCUGUAAAUAUUUCCUAUAGUACAGUACUGAAGUUUACAAAAUGUUGUUCCUGGUUGCGUACCUUUUACAAAAUAUUUCAUAUAGGAAAUAGUACAGUACUGAUGUUUUUCAGUACUAUAUAA
rnacentral:rRNA from 1 species